rnacentral:rRNA from 1 species
CCUACGGGAGGCAGCAGUGAGGAAUAUUGGUCAAUGGACGAGAGUCUGAACCAGCCAAGUAGCGUGAAGGAUGACUGCCCUAUGGGUUGUAAACUUCUUUUAUAUGGGAAUAAAACGUUCCACGUGUGGGAUUUUGUAUGUACCAUAUGAAUAAGGAUCGGCUAACUCCGUGCCAGCAGCCGCGGUAAUACGGAGGAUCCGAGCGUUAUCCGGAUUUAUUGGGUUUAAAGGGAGCGUAGGUGGAUUGUUAAGUCAGUUGUGAAAGUUUGCGGCUCAACCGUAAAAUUGCAGUUGAAACUGGCAGUCUUGAGUACAGUAGAGGUGGGCGGAAUUCGUGGUGUAGCGGUGAAAUGCUUAGAUAUCACGAAGAACUCCGAUUGCGAAGGCAGUUCACUGGACUGCAACUGACACUGAGGCUCGAAAGUGUGGGUAUCAAACAGGAUUAGAUACACCGGUAGUC